UACGUAGGGUGCGAGCGUUAAUCGGAAUUACUGGGCGUAAAGUGUGCGCAGGCGGCGCCGCAAGUCGAGUGUGAAAUCCCCGAGCUUAACUUGGGAAUUGCGCUCGAAACUACGACGCUGGAGUAUGGCAGAGGAAGGUGGAAUUCCACGUGUAGCGGUGAAAUGCGUAGAGAUGUGGAGGAACACCGAUGGCGAAGGCAGCCUUCUGGGCCAAUACUGACGCUCAUGCACGAAAAGCGUGGGGAGCAAACAGG
rnacentral:rRNA from 1 species